UACGUAGGGCGCAAGCGUUGUCCGGAAUUAUUGGGCGUAAAGAGCUCGUAGGCGGUUUGUCGCGUCUGCUGUGAAAACCUAAGGCUCAACCUUGGGCUUGCAGUGGGUACGGGCAGACUAGAGUGCGGUAGGGGUGACUGGAAUUCCUGGUGUAGCGGUGGAAUGCGCAGAUAUCAGGAGGAACACCGGUGGCGAAGGCAGGUCACUGGGCCAGAACUGACACUGAGGCACGAAAGCAAGGGGAGCGAACAGG
rnacentral:rRNA from 1 species